rnacentral:rRNA from 1 species
GAGACCCACGCCAACAGUUGCCAGCACGUUCUCCGGAAUGGUGGGGACACUGUUGGGACCGCCUCUGCUAAAGAGGAGGAAGGAAUGGGCAACGGUAGGUCAGCAUGCCCCGAAUUACCCGGGCUACACGCGGGCUACAAUGGACAGGACAAUGGGAAUCGACACCGAGAGGUGAAGGCAAUCCCCUAAACCUGCCCUUAGUUCGGAUUGUGGGCUGCAACUCGCCCACAUGAAGCUGGAAUCCGUAGUAAUCGCGGAUCAACAUUCCGCGGUGAAUAU